GGCUAGCGUUGUUCGGAAUUACUGGGCGUAAAGCGCACGUAGGCGGACUGUUAAGUCGGGGGUGAAAUCCUGGGGCUCAACCUCAGAAUUGCCUCCGAUACUGGCAGUCUCGAGUGCGGGAGAGGUGAGUGGAAUUCCCAGUGUAGAGGUGAAAUUCGUAGAUAUUGGGAAGAACACCAGUGGCGAAGGCGGCUCACUGGCCCGUAACUGACGCUGAGGUGCGAAAGCGUGGGGAGCAAACAGG
rnacentral:rRNA from 1 species